rnacentral:tRNA from 1 species
GGGGCCAUAGCUCAGCUGGGGAGAGCACCUGCUUUGCACGCAGGGGGUCAGCGGUUCGAUCCCGCUUGGCUCCACCA